AAACUUGAGAGUUUGAUCCUGGCUCAGAACAAACGCUGGCGGCGUGCCUAACACAUGCAAGUCGUACGAGAAAGGGUCCUUCGGGACCUGAGUAAAGUGGCGCACGGGUGAGUAACGCGUGGAUAAUCUGCCCUUCAGUUGGGAAUAACUCAUCGAAAGGUGGGCUAAUACCGGAUAAUGCUGUGAGACUUUGGUCGAUCAGCCAAAGAGAGCCUCUGCUUGCACGCCCUCGCUGAAGGAUGAGUCCGCGUACCAUUAGCUAGUUGGUAGGGUAAUGGCCUACCAAGGCGACGAUGGUUAGCUGGUCUGAGAGGAUGAUCAGCCACACUGGAACUGAAACACGGUCCAGACUCCUACGGGAGGCAGCAGUGAGGAAUUUUGCGCAAUGGGGGCAACCCUGACGCAGCAACGCCGCGUGAGUGAAGAAGGCCUUUGGGUCGUAAAGCUCUGUCAACCGGGAAGAAGUUAUUGUUAUCUAAUAGGUAGCAGUAUUGACGGUACCGGUGAAGGAAGCAUCGGCUAACUCCGUGCCAGCAGCCGCGGUAAUACGGGGGAUGCAAGCGUUAUUCGGAAUUAUUGGGCGUAAAGGGCGCGUAGGCGGUUUUGUCGGUCAGAUGUGAAAGCCCAGGGCUCAACCCUGGACGUGCAUUUGAAACAGCAAGACUUGAGUACGGGAGAGGAAAGCGGAAUUCCUGGUGUAGAGGUGAAAUUCGUAGAUAUCAGGAGGAACACCGAUGGCGAAGGCAGCUUUCUGGACCGAUACUGACGCUGAGGCGCGAAGGCGUGGGUAGCGAACAGGAUUAGAUACCCUGGUAGUCCACGCAGUAAACGAUGUACACUCGGUGUAGCGGAUAUUAAAAUCUGCUGCGCCCAAGCUAACGCAUUAAGUGUACCGCCUGGGGAGUACGGUCGCAAGAC
rnacentral:ncRNA from 1 species